rnacentral:rRNA from 1 species
UACCAGACUCAUCCGAGGCCUGGUAAUCGGAAUGAGCACACUUUAAAUCCUUUAACGAGGAACCAUUGGAGGGCAAGUCUGGUGCCAGCAGCCGCGGUAAUUCCAGCUCCAAUAGUUUAUAUUAAAGUUGUUGUGGUUAAAAAGCUCGUAGUUGGAACCUGGCAUGCAGGGGGCGGUCCAUUAUUUGAUGCGACUGCCCCAUUUGCGUGUUUUUUUAGGCGGAAUUCCUUGGGUGCUCUUCACCGAGUGUCCUUGGAGGCCGCCAGGUUUACUUUGAAAGAAUUAGAGUGCUCCAAGCAGGCUCUACACGCCUGAAUAUUCGUGCAUGGAAUAAUGGAAUAGGACGUCGUUCCUAUUUUGUUGGUUUUAGGGAUUCGACGUAAUGAUUAAUAGGGACAGCCGGGGGCAUUAGUAUGCAGAUGACAGAGGUGAAAUUCUUGGACCGUCUGCCGACUAACUACUGCGAAAGCAUUUGCCAAGAGUGUUUUCAUUAAUCAAGAACGAAAGUUAGAGGUUCGAAGGCGAUCAGAUACCGCCCUAGUUCUAACCAUAAACGAUGCCAGCUAGCGAUCUGCAGGCGUUUUUUUGUAGGCCCUGCAGGAAGCUUCCGGGAAACCAAAGCAUUUGGGUUCCAGGGGAAGUAUGGUUGCAAAGCUGAAACUUAAAGGAAUUGACGGAAGGGCACCACCAGGCGUGGAGCUUGCGGCUUAAUUUGACCCAACACUGGAAAUCUCACCAGGCCCGGACACCGGCAGGAUUGACAGAUUGAGAGCUCUUUCUCGAUUCGGUGGGUGGUGGUGCAUGGCCGUUCUUAGUUGGUGGAGUGAUUUGUCUGGUUAAUUCCGAUAACGAACGAGACUCCGUCCUGCUAACUAGUUGCGAGGUCACACUUUGCCUCGCAAAUUCUUCUUAGAGGGACUGACAGCAUCUAGCUGUACGAGAUGGAGCAAUAACAGGUCUGUGAUGCCCUUAGAUGUUCUGGGCUGCACGCGUGUUACACUGAAGGGAUCAGCGUGUUUUCCCUGACCGAGAGGUCCGGGUAACCCGCUGAACCCCCUUCGUGGUAUGGAUCGGAGCUUGCAAUUAUUCUCCGUGAACCAGGAAUGCCCAGUAAGCGCAAGUCAUAAGCUUGCGUUGAUUACGUCCCUGCCCUUUGUACACACCGCCCGUCGCUACUACCGAUUGAACGUUUUAGUGAGGUAUUUGGACUGGGCCUCUGGUGGUUCACGCCUCCAGUGUUGCCCGGGAAGACUCCCAAACUUGAGCGUUUAGA